AUACGGAGGGUGCGAGCGUUAAUCGGAAUUACUGGGCGUAAAGCGCGCGUAGGUGGUUUUGUAAGUCGGAUGUGAAAGCCCCGGGCUCAACCUGGGAAUUGCAUUCGAUACUGCAAGACUUGAGUACAGUAGAGGAGAGUAGAAUUCCUGGUGUAGCGGUGAAAUGCGUAGAUAUCAGGAGGAAUACCAGUGGCGAAGGCGGCUCUCUGGACUGAUACUGACACUGAGGUGCGAAAGCGUGGGUAGCGAACAGGAUUAGAUACCCCAGUAGUCC
rnacentral:rRNA from 1 species